AUUGAACGCUGGCGGCAGGCCUAACACAUGCAAGUCGAGCGGAUGAAGGGAGCUUGCUCCUGGAUUCAGCGGCGGACGGGUGAGUAAUGCCUAGGAAUCUGCCUGGUAGUGGGGGAUAACGUCCGGAAACGGGCGCUAAUACCGCAUACGUCCUGAGGGAGAAAGUGGGGGAUCUUCGGACCUCACGCUAUCAGAUGAGCCUAGGUCGGAUUAGCUGUUGGUGGGGUAAAGGCCUACCAAGGCGACGAUCCGUAACUGGUCUGAGAGGAUGAUCAGUCACACUGGAACUGAGACACGGUCCAGACUCCUACGGGAGGCAGCAGUGGGGAAUAUUGGACAAUGGGCGAAAGCCUGAUCCAGCCAUGCCGCGUGUGUGAAGAAGGUCUUCGGAUUGUAAAGCACUUUAAGAUGGGAGGAAGGGCAGUAAGUUAAUACCUUGCUGUUUUGACGUUACCAACAGAAUAAGCACCGGCUAACUUCGUG
rnacentral:rRNA from 1 species